CCUACGGGAGCCAGCAGUGAGGAAUAUUGGUCAAUGGACGAGAGUCUGAACCAGCCAAGUAGCGUGAAGGAUGACUGCCCUAUGGGUUGUAAACUUCUUUUAUAUGGGAAUAAAAUGUUCCACGUGUGGGAUUUUGUAUGUACCAUAUGAAUAAGGAUCGGCUAACUCCGUGCCAGCAGCCGCGGUAAUACGGAGGAUCCGAGCGUUAUCCGGAUUUAUUGGGUUUAAAGGGAGCGUAGGUGGAUUGUUAAGUCAGUUGUGAAAGUUUGCAGCUCAACCGUAAAAUUGCAGUUGAAACUGGCAGUCUUGAGUACAGUAGAGGUGGGCGGAAUUCGUGGUGUAGCGGUGAAAUGCUUAGAUAUCACGAAGAACUCCGAUUGCGAAGGCAGUUCACUGGACUGCAACUGACACUGAGGCUCGAAAGUGUGGGUAUCAAACAGGAUUAGAUACCCCAGUAGUC
rnacentral:rRNA from 1 species